GAGAGGCCUAUGUCCUAUCAGCUUGUUGGUGAGGUAACGGCUCACCAAGGCAACGACAGGUAGCGGGUGUGAGAGCAUGACCCGUCUCACUGGGACUGAGACACUGCCCAGACUCCUACGGGAGGCUGCAGUCAAGAAUCUUCCACAAUGGCCGAAAGGCUGAUGGAGCGACGCCGCGUGUAUGAAGAAGUCCCUCGGGAUGUAAAGUACUUUUUUUAGGGAGGAAACAAUGACAGUACCUAAAGAAUAAGGGGCUGCUAACUUCGUGCCAGCAGCAGCGGUAAUACGAAGGCCCCGAGCGUUAUCCGGAUUAAUUGGGCGUAAAGGGUGUGUGGGUGGUUUGUCGCAUCCUCUGUUAAUCUGCGGGCUCAACCCGUAGGCUGCGGAGGAGAUGGACAGACUAGAGUGCGGGAGAGGUAAGCGGAAUUGCUGGUGUAGGGGUUAAAUCCGUUAAUAUCAGCAGGAACACCAAAUGCGUAGGCAGCUUACUGGAACGCUACUGACACUGAAACACGAAAGCGUGGGGAGCGAAUGGGAUUAGAU
rnacentral:rRNA from 1 species